GGGGCCCAAGGUGCAGCCAUGUCGUGACAAGCAGAGGCUUUGGGUGGCGGGUGCGGAGGGACAGCACCAGCACCAGCACCUGGCUGACUUCCCGAGGACAGGGCAUGUCCUGCACAUGGCCAUUUCUAGACAGGGGGCAGGGGUUGCUGCUCAAACAAGGAGGGGCGCCUGGUCUGGGCUCUGGGGACCCGGAUUCCCCAGGGCCUGCUGAGGUCCCAGACUUCCUGACAAGGUGCAGGGAGCAUGCCAAUGAGAGCCAGCAGGGCAACACUGGGUCCCUGGGUGUGGCCUUCAACAGCCCAGGUCCUUCAUUCCUGGGGAGAGCCCAUGCUGCAGGGGCAGGGAGACACCAUCUCUGAGCUCAGAUGGGCUAAGGGAGGAUGUGAACUUCAGACUGAGGCCAACACCUGGCCCCAAGCCCUGGGGGCUCUGGCACUGACCUGGUGUUGUUUGGGCAGCGGAAAGCCAGUGUGUCUUCCCGGCCAAGGAGAGGGUGAACUGCGGCUACCCUAACAUUGACCAGGAGGCCUGCACCAACCGCGGCUGCUGCUUUGACUCCAGCAUACGAGGGGUGCCCUGGUGCUUCGAGCCUAUGCAGAAGGAAGAAUGCACGUUCUGAAGCUCUGCUCUGUGGCCUGGGAUGGCACCUGCCUGUGGAUGGUGGCUGGCAGAGGGGGCUGCCCGUCACGGCUCCCCCUGCUCUGGGCAAGCGCGUCAGCUGAACACUCGUGUCCAGGGUCUGCUGUCUAACGAAUAAAGCUCUCAUGCUCAGCAUGGGGACCGUUCUUCCUGC